AUUGAACGCUGGCGGCAGGCCUAACACAUGCAAGUAGAGCGAGCGGCGGACGGGUGAGGAAUGUCUGGGAAACUGCCUGAUGGAGGGGGAUAACUACUGGAAACGGUAGCUAAGACCGCAUACAAGCAGAAGUGACCAGAUGGGAUUGGCGAGGAGGGUGGGUAAUGGCUCACCUAGGCGACGGUCCCUAGCUGGUCUGAGAGGAUGACCAGUCACACGUGAACUGAGACACGGUCCAGACUCCCACGCGAGGCCGCAGUGGGGAAUAUUGCACAAUGUGCGCAAGCCUGAUGCAGCCAUGCCGCGUGUGUGAAGAAGGCCUUCGGGUUGUAAAGCACUUUCAGCGGGGAGGCGUUACCCGCAGAAGAAGCACCGGCUAACUCCGUGCCAGCAGCCGCGGUAAUUC
rnacentral:rRNA from 1 species